UUGGAGGGCAAGUCUGGUGCCAGCAGCCGCGGUAAUUCCAGCUCCAAUAGCGUAUAUUAAAGUUGUUGCAGUUAAAAAGCUCGUAGUUGAACCUCGGGAUCAAUGGAUCGGUCAUGCCAUCGGUAUGUACUGGUCUCAUUGGUUCUCACCUUCUAAGGAACCAUGAUGUCAUUAAUUUGAUGUUGUGGGGAAUUAGGACUGUUACCUUGAAAAAAUUAGAGUGUUUAAAGCAGGCUAACGCUUGAAUACAUUAGCAUGGAAUAAUGAAAUAGGACAUCGCAUUCUAUUUUGUUGGUUUCUAGGAUCGAUGUAAUGAUUAAUAGGGAUAGUUGGGGGCAUUAGUAUUCAAUUGUCAGAGGUGAAAUUCUUGGAUUUAUUGAAGACUAACUACUGCGAAAGCAUUUGCCAAGGAUGUUUUCAUUAAUCAAGAACGAAAGUUAGGGGAUCGAAGACGAUCAGAUACCGUCGUAGUCUUAACCAUAAACUAUGCCGACUAGGGAUCGGAUGAUGUUGAUUUUUUAAUGACUCAUUCGGCACCUUACGGGAAAC
rnacentral:rRNA from 1 species